AAUCAACGCUGGCGGCGUGCCUCAGACAUGCAAGUCGAACGCGAAAGUUUCCUUCGGGAGACAAGUAGAGUGGCGCACGGGUGAGUAACACGUAGGUAAUCUACCUUUGGAUGGGGAAUAACAACCGGAAACGGUUGCUAAUACCGCAUAAUGCAGCGGCACCUAAUGGUGACAGUUGUUAAAGCGGGGAUCGAAAGACCUCGCGUCUGAAGAGGAGCCUGCGGCGGAUUAGCAGUUGGUAAGGUAAUGGCUUACCAAGGCUACGAUCCGUAACCGGCCUGAGAGGGCGGUCGGUCACACUGACACUGACAUACGGGUCAGACUCCUACGGGAGGCAGCAGUCGGGAAUCUUGCGCAAUGGGCGAAA
rnacentral:rRNA from 1 species